rnacentral:rRNA from 1 species
AUUGAACGCUGGCGGCAGGCUUAACACAUGCAAGUCGAGCGGUAGCACAGGGGGGCUUGCCCCCUGGGUGUCGCGCGGCGGGGGGGUGUGUCAUGUCUGGGACCCUGCUUGAUGGAGGGGGAUACCUCGUGGAACCGGUGGCUAUUACCGCAUACCGUCGCAAGCGCAAAGAGGGGGAGCUUCGGGCCUCUUGCCAUCAGCUGUGCCCUGGUGGCAUUAGCUAGUAGGUGGGGUAAUGGCUCACCAAGGCGACGAUCCGUAGCUGGUCUGAGAGGAUGAACAGCCACACUGGAACUGAGACACGGUCCAGACUCCUACGGGAGGCAGCAGUGGGGAAUAUUGCACAAUGGGCGCAAGCCUGAUGCAGCCAUGCCGCGUGUGUGAAGAAGGCCUUCGGGUUGUAAAGCACUUUCAGCGAGGAGGAAGGUGGUGAGCUUAAUACGUGCAUCAAUUGACGGUACUCGAAGAAGAAGCACCGGCUAACUCCGUG